rnacentral:rRNA from 1 species
GACGGGGGAUGCAAGUGUUAUCCGGAAUCACUGGGCGUAAAGCGUCUGCAGGUGGUUUCCUAAGUCCACUGUUAAACCUUGAGGCUCAACCUCAAAUCUGCAUUGGAAACUAGGAGACUUGAGCAUAGUAGGGGUAGAGGGAAUUUCCAGUGGGGCGGUGAAAUGCGUAGAUAUUGGAAAGAACACCGAUGGCGAAGGCACUCUACUGGGCUAUUACUGACACUCAGAGACGAAGGCUAGGGGAGCAAAUGGG